UGCGAUCUCUUAUACAUUUUAUUGUUUUCGUAGAUUUAUUUAAGCAACCAAUCUUCCUUUUACCAUGAAGUCUUCAUUAUCAAUUAACACAACCAUUUUACUUCAUUUAAUAUGAUGAUCUGACUGUUAAUGUGUCUCCCCUUCCAGUGAAAUGAAAGUGGAGCAAUUUCGUAAUAUGUGUUGCGUCGUUCAAACAGUCUCAGGUAGAAAUAUUAUGAAAACGAAAUUUGGAGAAAUCGAAAUGAAUUAGUUAAGCGUGUAGCAAAAAAAUAUGACUUGGUGGGUAGCUGAGAAUAAAAACGAAGAAGGGAAAUGAUACAGUCCAUGUACCAACAUAUCCACGUGCAUUGUGUAGCUGCAGCUAACAUUCAAAUUGACCGUUAGGUGACUUUGAAGCCAAUGACAAAAGAGGUCAAUAUUGUUGCACACGCGUUCAGCUUCAUGGUUUACAUGCCCUACAAUUAUUUGGUUUGUAUAGUAUCGAAGAAUAGCCACAUAUCAGAAACCUUUAAAUCUUGAAUACCACAAUGUAAAUUACACAUAUUAAUAUAAGAAAUUUUUAAAUGGCAGUGGCUGUCAAAA